rnacentral:rRNA from 1 species
GGUGACUGCGUACCUUUUGUAUAAUGGGUCAGCGACUUAUAUUCUGUAGCAAGGUUAACCGUAUAGGGGAGCCGCAGGGAAACCGAGUCUUAACUGGGCGUUAAGUUGCAGGGUAUAGACCCGAAACCCGGUGAUCUAGCCAUGGGCAGGUUGAAGGUUGGGUAACACUAACUGGAGGACCGAACCGACUAAUGUUGAAAAAUUAGCGGAUGACUUGUGGCUGGGGGUGAAAGGCCAAUCAAACCGGGAGAUAGCUGGUUCUCCCCGAAAGCUAUUUAGGUAGCGCCUCGUGAAUUCAUCUUCGGGGGUAGAGCACUGUUUCGGCUAGGGGGUCAUCCCGACUUACCAACCCGAUGCAAACUACGAAUACCGAAGAAUGUUAUCACGGGAGACACACGGCGGGUGCUAACGUCCGUCGUGAAGAGGGAAACAACCCAGACCGCCAGCUAAGGUCCCAAAGUCAUGGUUAAGUGGGAAACGAUGUGGGAAGGCCCAGACAGCCAGGAUGUUGGCUUAGAAGCAGCCAUCAUUUAAAGAAAGCGUAAUAGCUCACUGGUCGAGUCGGCCUGCGCGGAAGAUGUAACGGGGCUAAACCAUGCACCGAAGCUGCGGCAGCGACACUAUGUGUUGUUGGGUAGGGGAGCGUUCUGUAAGCCGUUGAAGGUGGCCUGUGAGGGUUGCUGGAGGUAUCAGAAGUGCGAAUGCUGACAUAAGUAACGAUAAUGCGGGUGAAAAACCCGCACGCCGGAAGACCAAGGGUUCCUGUCCAACGUUAAUCGGGGCAGGGUGAGUCGACCCCUAAGGCGAGGCCGAAAGGCGUAGUCGAUGGGAAACAGGUUAAUAUUCCUGUACUCGGUGUUACUGCGAAGGGGGGACGGAGAAGGCUAUGUUGGCCGGGCGACGGUUGUCCCGGUUUAAGCAUGUAGGCGGAUGUUCCAGGUAAAUCCGGAACGUUACUAACGCUGAGGUGUGAUGACGAGGCACUACGGUGCUGAAGUGACAAAUGCCCUGCUUCCAGGAAAAGCCUCUAAGCAUCAGGUAACAUCAAAUCGUACCCCAAACCGACACAGGUGGUCAGGUAGAGAAUACCAAGGCGCUUGAGAGAACUCGGGUGAAGGAACUAGGCAAAAUGGUGCCGUAACUUCGGGAGAAGGCACGCUGAUGGUAGNNNNNNNNNNNNNNNNGUGGAGCUGAAAUCAGUCGAAGAUACCAGCUGGCUGCAACUGUUUAUUAAAAACACAGCACUGUGCAAACACGAAAGUGGACGUAUACGGUGUGACGCCUGCCCGGUGCCGGAAGGUUAAUUGAUGGGGUUAUCCGUAAGGAGAAGCUCUUGAUCGAAGCCCCGGUAAACGGCGGCCGUAACUAUAACGGUCCUAAGGUAGCGAAAUUCCUUGUCGGGUAAGUUCCGACCUGCACGAAUGGCGUAAUGAUGGCCAGGCUGUCUCCACCCGAGACUCAGUGAAAUUGAACUCGCUGUGAAGAUGCAGUGUACCCGCGGCAAGACGGAAAGACCCCGUGAACCUUUACUAUAGCUUGACACUGAACACUGGUCCUUGAUGUGUAGGAUAGGUGGGAGGCUUUGAAGUGUGGACGCCAGUCUGCAUGGAGCCAUCCUUGAAAUACCACCCUUUAAUGGCUGGUGUUCUAACGUGGGCCCCUAAUCGGGGUUGCGGACAGUGUCUGGUGGGUAGUUUGACUGGGGCGGUCUCCUCCUAAAGAGUAACGGAGGAGCACGAAGGUCAGCUAAUCCUGGUCGGACAUCAGGAGGUUAGUGCAAUGGCAUAAGCUGGCUUGACUGCGAGCGUGACGGCGCGAGCAGGUGCGAAAGCAGGUCAUAGUGAUCCGGUGGUUCUGAAUGGAAGGGCCAUCGCUCAACGGAUAAAAGGUACUCCGGGGAUAACAGGCUGAUACCGCCCAAGAGUUCAUAUCGACGGCGGUGUUUGGCACCUCGAUGUCGGCUCAUCACAUCCUGGGGCUGAAGUAGGUCCCAAGGGUAUGGCUGUUCGCCAUUUAAAGUGGUACGCGAGCUGGGUUUAGAACGUCGUGAGACAGUUCGGUCCCUAUCUGCCGUGGGCGCUGGAGAAUUGAGGGGGGCUGCUCCUAGUACGAGAGGACCGGAGUGGACGCAUCACUGGUGUUCGGGUUGUCAUGCCAAUGGCAUUGCCCGGUAGCUAAAUGCGGAAGAGAUAAGUGCUGAAAGCAUCUAAGCACGAAACUUGCCCCGAGAUGAGUUCU